rnacentral:misc_RNA from 1 species
UGCUCUUGCUGAAGCUGCUGCACCAUAUGGUAUUGAGAGUUUUGAUUCUGUUUUGAAGCCCUUAUGGAAGGGUAUUAGAUCACAUCGUGGCAAGGUUUUGGCUGCCUUUUUAAAGGCUAUAGGUUUCAUCAUUCCUCUUAUGGAUGCUGUAUAUGCCAGUUACUAUACCAAAGAAGUUAUGGUUGUCCUUAUUCGUGAGUUUCAAUCACCUGACGAGGAGAUGAAAAAAAUUGUGCUGAAAGUGGUGAAGCAGUGCGUCAGUACAGAAGGUGUGGAGCCAGAUUACAUUCGACAAGACAUUCUUCCGGAAUUCUUCAGAAACUUUUGGGUUAGAAGAAUGGCUUUGGACCGCAGAAACUACAAGCAACUAGUUGAAACCACUGUGGAGAUAGCAAACAAAGUUGGUGUUGCUGAUAUAGUUGGGAGAAUUGUUGAAGACUUGAAAGAUGAGAGUGAACCAUACAGGAGAAUGGUCAUGGAGACUAUUGAGAAGGUGGUUGCAAAUCUUGGUGCAUCUGAUAUUGAUUCUCGACUAGAAGAGCUGUUAAUUGAUGGUAUCCUUUAUGCCUUCCAAGAGCAAACCAGUGAUGAUGCUAAUGUGAUG